AUUGAACGCUGGCGGCAUGCUUUACACAUGCAAGUCGAACGGCAGCGCGGGCUUCGGCCUGGCGGCGAGUGGCGAACGGGUGAGUAAUACAUCGGAACGUGCCCAGUAGUGGGGGAUAGCUCGGCGAAAGCCGGAUUAAUACCGCAUACGACCUGAGGGUGAAAGCGGGGGAUCUUCGGACCUCGCGCUAUUGGAGCGGCCGAUGGCAGAUUAGCUAGUUGGUGGGGUAAAGGCCUACCAAGGCGACGAUCUGUAGCUGGUCUGAGAGGACGACCAGCCACCCUGGGACUGAGACACGGCCCAGACUCCUACGGGAGGCAGCAGUGGGGAAUUUUGGACAAUGGGCGAAAGCCUGAUCCAGCAAUGCCGCGUGUGUGAUGAAGGCCUUCGGGUUGUAAAGCACUUUUGGCGGGAACGAAAAGGACUGUGCCAAUCCCACGGUUCGAUGACGGUACCCGCAGAAUAAGCACCGGCUAACUACGUG
rnacentral:rRNA from 1 species